AUGUUGGUUCAAGGUUUGAGGCACAAGGUAAGCCCGGAAGAGGUUAAUCAACGCUUGCUUGUUACGUGCUCUUGGUUAGCGCAUUGCCUAAAAGUGCUCUCUGUCUGUCUCUCUCUCUCCUUUCUGCCUCCGUCUGUCUGUUUUUCAGAAUGGCUCAGCCUUGGUGGAGAGAUCUGGCCGCCUACAGAUAACUGCGGUCUUUGUGCAACCCUUUCUAAGCACAUACGUACUGCUCCAUUCAGAGGGGGAGGUCUGUGGAGGAGGGAGGCCAAGACAGAAGCACCUUUGUUGGCCAUGUUGUACCGUGGGUGGCCCCCCUCCUGUCUUCAGACCCUCAUUUGUAUCACGGAUGAUUCUGUGGAAAUGAGGAGAGAGGUUUCAAUCCAUGGAUUGGUGGUGUACCUCAGAGAAAAGGAGGAGAAGCUCUUUAAAGAGCAGUCGGUUGAUCGGGAUCUCACCAACGAAGUGUUGAAAAUCAUUGUAACCAGAGGUGCCUCAUCUGAUCCAGCCAGCGCUCAGAUUGGAACGGUGGGAACAGAAGUCCUGGAAGAAGUAGACGUACCCAGAGCCUGUGCCUUGCUAAUGGGACUGAUCUACUCACUCAAUCUCAGCUACCCAAAGGAACUAAAAAACACCUUUGAAGUGUUUCAAAAGGUAUUUCUUGAGCUGGAUAGCCUGAAAGCAAGCCCGAAAGUAAUGUCUCUGAAAAUUAAACUGCUGUUCUAAAAUAUCUGAAGAUUGUCUACUAUUUGAGCAGGAAAUGUCAUUUGUUAAUACACUGUGUUUAAAUGUUUUUAAGGUUUACUUAAAGUACACUAAGUUUACACCUAUAAUGGACUCUGGGACGUAAUUUUGGGGGACGGGACGGGUGGGACAUGUCCCCCCCACUUUUUCAAAAGGCAGUUUUGGUCCCCUGCACUUUUUUCCGUCCAAAAACAAUAUUACGCUCCAUUAAAUGGAUUUGGUUGAGCACUAGGACCGAAACGGAAACCGGUUUCCUAUUAGACCCGCCCAAAAGCUAAUCUAUUGGCUCUGCUGAUACUUGCUAACGUAUUAUUGGCUGUUGCUGCUGUCACUCAAGUUGUAAACAGAACGUGCUCACGUUGUUUUGCUAGUUUGGAGCCGCUAGGGAACACCGGUACUGAGUCACAUCGUCAACUAGACGCUGUGUAAUAUCAGAGCUCAGCUCAGCUUCCAUUACAUAACAUUUGAAUAAGUGUUCAUUUGUGAGUCUUUGGUAGUUAGGCACAGCCAGGAGGCAGCAUGUCAAGAAAACGAAAAGUGGAUAUAAGAGACUUCUUUCAAAGUCAAAACGUAAGUUGGAACAUGUGACACCCCUGCAUUAAGCUCAGACUCACCUCCUCCUUCACAAACAUACUCAAAACUAACUUUUACAAACUCAUCUCCUCCACAUAACUGACUCCUCAGACACAAUUUAUUCGUAUUAUUAUAAUUAUUAUUUUUUUAUUAUUACUAUUAUCAUCAUAAUUAUUAUUACUAGUAGUAGUAGUAGU
rnacentral:lncRNA from 1 species